CGAAUUUUUACGGAGCAGACGAUAAGUCGAGCGUCGAAGAUCGAUUGUUGAAACCAAACGACUUUCGAGCAUACGGCGAGAGUUGUACAAGAAACCAUAACCUCAAAUUUUUCCAUUUCGAAACUUACGAGGAUACAUUUAAGCAAUUUAUUUUACAAUCAAUUUUGCAAAUAAAUAAACAAAUGGCUAACGUUAAGAAAUUCAUUCGAAACGUCUACUACGACUCAUUCAAGUGGUCUGUAGUCAAAAGCAUAGGAAUAUUUGCUCUGGGAGUGAAAAUAGCCUUGGAGUGUAAGGGGAUGGAUCUGAUGGCAACACCAAAUAUAUGAAUAAGUUCACUUGAGACUACUUAAUAACUGUAGAUGCUCGUGAAUUGAAAAAUUUUCCUUUUCAAUUAAAUACUUGCGAUGUACAUAUGACGAUAGGCAUGUUUCUCCUAAACCCAUCCCUUAAUUACUUGUUUUCUAUUUGUUAAGUUCAAAUAUGUACUCAUAGUUACAUUCAGUGUGUUGUGAUUAUUUUCAUGCGAAGGAAAGAUAUGUAAUUUAAUUAUGAGAAGAAAUACAAACAAAAUUUUUACAA